UAAGUAGGCGGUGGAAAAUGAACCAAAUGGGAUUCCUUAAGUAAUUGCGAAUGAACAAGGAAAUGCUCAGCUUGAAAAAUGGGGCCUUCGGCUUUGAAUUGUAAUUUUGAAAUGUAUUGCCAAUGGAGGCGCAGGUGCAAGCCUAUUGAAAGAAAGCGUCAAUGAGGGUGAGAUUCCUUUUUGUCAUUUGCAGUCCUCCGUGCACGGUAUAUAUUUGACGAGUCACACUCCUCGGCAUUGGAAUGCAAAGUGGGUGGUAAAUUCCAUGUAAAGGUAAAUAUAUUAUUGAGACUGAUAGCAAACAAGUACCAUGAGGGAAAUAUGAAAAGGACUUUGAAAAGAGAAUUAAAAGAGUCUGCAUUUGCUGAACAGAAAGCAAACAGAAUUGAUCUUACUUGGUGAGAUUGUUGUGCCCACUUUAGCAUUUAUAUGUUGGAUGUGGGUGCGAUGGUUCUUGCCUUGAAUGUCAGCUUCUAUUWCUGCAAAUCAUUACCCUUGCACGUGAAUGGUAAUUUGCCUGUGGGUAUUGGAAUGCAUGUGUUUGCAAUGAUUUGUGAUUUGAUAUGUGUGAUUGGUGCUACUUGCGUGUUGCUCCUUUGUCAACGGGGAAGGCUGUCUUCCUUGAGCCCGCAAGCCCAAACACCUUACUGCUGGCAAAAUGUUUCUGCUUGACCCG
rnacentral:rRNA from 1 species